rnacentral:rRNA from 1 species
UACGUAGGGUGCGAGCGUUAAUCGGAAUUACUGGGCGUAAAGCGUGCGCAGGCGGUUUGUUAAGACAGAUGUGAAAUCCCCGGGCUUAACCUGGGAACUGCAUUUGUGACUGGCAAGCUAGAGUAUGGCAGAGGGGGGGUAGAAUUCCACGUGUAGCAGUGAAAUGCGUAGAGAUGUGGAGGAAUACCGAUGGCGAAGGCAAUCCCCCUGGGCCGUUACCGACGCUGAGGAGCGAAAGCGUGGGGAGCGAACAGG